rnacentral:rRNA from 1 species
UACGUAGGGUGCGAGCGUUAAUCGGAAUUACUGGGCGUAAAGGGUGCGCAGGCGGUUGCGCAAGUCAGGCGUGAAAUCCCCGGGCUUAACCUGGGAAUGGCGCUUGAAACUACGCGACUAGAGUGUGGCAGAGGGAGGUGGAAUUCCACGUGUAGCGGUGAAAUGCGUAGAGAUGUGGAGGAACACCGAUGGCGAAGGCAGCCUCCUGGGUCAACACUGACGCUCAUGCACGAAAGCGUGGGGAGCAAACAGG